CAUGCGCGAUGCUCUAGAGCCUUCUGAGCUGGUACUGACCUAACAGAAUCUGUUCUACGCUUUGGAGCGUUUGAAGAUGGGCGCGCGCUGUGCUCACAUCAUUGAGGAUAGACACACAUAGAACCAGCGACAAAAAUUCUCUCUCCAGGAGGCAAUUCACGAGCUACUCUCCAUCGAGGCAUUUUCUCUCGAUUCAUUCACUGAUUAUUGCAUCGGCACCGCUUCCGAGCCAGCAUGGAAGGCCAUCAAUCAGGUUCAAGAGACCCUGAGUGAGAUCAAGCGAGCAGUCGAUCUCCUCGACUACCGCUCGCUUUGUUUAUCAGCAACCUCCUCAGCUCCGUGUUGCCCCUCACGAUUGUGAGCUGGAGGCCGUACAUGUCGUAGACCAGGAAAUUGGCCAUCGCGGCACGACCAUUGUAGACUGCCUGUCCCUAGCGAUCUCCGGCAUCUUUGCCAAGUCCAGGGCCAAGGUCUUGAACACACAGUACUCGAGCAGGUCUACGGUUCCCUUUUUUUCUUUCCCUCGGUUUCCUUCCUUUUGUUUCCUUUACCUCUGCUUAGCAAGAAUCUAUGCAUUCUCCUCGUAGGAAAAGUA